rnacentral:rRNA from 1 species
GAUGAACGCUAGCGACAGGCUUAACACAUGCAAGUCGAGGGGUAACAGGGUAGCAAUACCGCUGACGACCGGCGCACGGGUGAGUAACGCGUAUGCAACCUGCCUAUAACUGUGGAAUAGCUCCCUGAAAGGGGAAUUAACACCGCAUAACACUAUUGAUUCGCAUGGAUUGGUAGUUAAAUGUAGCGAUACAGGUUAUAGAUGGGCAUGCGUGACAUUAGCUAGUUGGUGAGGUAACGGCUCACCAAGGCUACGAUGUCUAGGGGUUCUGAGAGGAAGGUCCCCCACACUGGUACUGAGACACGGACCAGACUCCUACGGGAGGCAGCAGUGAGGAAUAUUGGUCAAUGGGCGCAAGCCUGAACCAGCCAUGUCGCGUGCAGGAAGACUGCCCUAUGGGUUGUAAACUGCUUUUAUAGUAGAAGAAACACAUCUACGUGUAGAUGUCUGCCAGUAUACUAUGAAUAAGC